rnacentral:rRNA from 1 species
AUGCUUCCAUUUGGCUGGCUUACUGAUGCAGGUGAUCAUCCAUAUGAUAACUUCGUGGCACUUAGCGCUAAUCAGGGCCCUCACAGAACCACUAGCCUUACAUUUGACGAACAAACAACACAGAUGGUACUUUGGUCAAUGGCUAAAUCACCGCUCAUGUAUGGAGGGGACUUGAGGCAUCUCGAUGAUCAUACAUUCAAUCUAAUUACCCAUCCUACUCUAUUAAGGAUAAAUCACCACACUAGAAACAACAUGGAGUUUGGUUAUAUUCAUAGUGAGAGGGCUUCAAAGCCAGAUGAACAAUCCGGUCGCUCAAAGUCCGGCUAUCCGAUGGACUUGACAAACAAUGGUGGAAUGGUUCUUGGUCUCGGUACAUGCAGCGAUAAGAGCGUCGGUGGAUGGCACAGUUCCUCAGAAGAUCGCAUUUGCAGACUCUAUCGAAUCCAGAAUGGCAAUGCCUCAUUUUGCAUAUCCUAA